GUGCUCACUUCCGCAGUACAUAUACUAAAAUUGGAAUGAUACAGAGAAGAUUAGCAUGCCCCCU
rnacentral:snRNA from 1 species